rnacentral:ribozyme from 12 species
AAAAGCGAAAAAGGAAAAAUGAUAGAAAAAAAGAGGCAACAUGAUCAGUUAAACAGUUUAAAAGUUCUUUUCUUUUUCUGUUCUUUCUCUAGAUCCUCCUAUUUUAUGUGCUUCUCA